rnacentral:lncRNA from 1 species
GGUUGAGCACGUGGAUGGUGUCCUGUAGAUGCUUGUUGAUGGCCCAGCCCCUCCUCUCCACCUCCACAGCCACCAGGGAGGAAUAACUGGGCCCUGGAUGUGAUGUGAUGAGUGAAUAUUCCUGAUGAGAAGUGGAAAUAAUUCAUGGUUGAGAGCUGUGCCUCAGAUCAGAGUGACAGGAUACAUGGCCAGGCUAUAUUUUCCAGCAGAUUACGUUAAAAGCUGUGGCCUAAGACUCUAAAGUAUGAAGACAAAAGGAGAAGAUGACACAAUAUCUUUCUAAAGAAAUAUUUUCCAGCCAAACGGUGCAGCAGAUGACUUCUAGGAAUUUGUUCUUGUUCUCUAUUGAAGGUCCACUUUCAACCACUGGAGUGCCUGGCACAGAACUGGGUGGGACUGGUAGAGAGGGGCAGGAGCCUCUCUCUCCUUGCUCUGCUCUGCAGCCUAGGCCAGCUGUUGUCAGAGGCCGGGAGGAGCUCAGAAGUCAAGUUUUGGCUCUGCCAUCUCCUGACUCUGUGACCUGGGCAAGUCUCUAG